rnacentral:RNase_P_RNA from 1 species
AUAGAUAGUCGCUUUUUUAAAAUUUUUUAAAAAAGAGGAAAGUCCGAACACCAUACAGCAAGAUACUUUUCGAAAGGAAAGACACAUAUAGUGCAAAUUAUAUGUGAUAGAUAGUGUAGCAGAAAAUAAACCGCCAAAAUUUAUUUUUAAAAAUAAAAAAUAAUUUUGGUAAGGGUGAAAAAGUGAGGUAAGAGCUCACUAUUUAUUUUAGUGAUAAAAUGAAUUGACAAACCUUAUCUGGUGCAACUUCAAGUAUAGUCCUAUAAAAGGUCCGCUGGGCUUCUAAGGACGGGGUAGAAGGCACGAGCAUUUUUGCCGCGGUUAUUUUUAUAACUAGAGAUAGAUGACUAUCGCUUUAUAUUUUUAUAAAGAACAGAAUUCGGCUUAUUUUUUGCCUUA